GAUGAACGCUGGCGGCGUGCCUAAUACAUGCAAGUCGAGCGAACAGACGAGGAGCUUGCUCCUCUGACGUUAGCGGCGGACGGGUGAGUAACACGUGGAUAACCUACCUAUAAGACUGGGAUAACUUCGGGAAACCGGAGCUAAUACCGGAUAAUAUAUUGAACCGCAUGGUUCAAUAGUGAAAGACGGUUUUGCUGUCACUUAUAGAUGGUUCCGAGCCGCAUUAGCUAGUUGGUAAGGUAACGGCUUACCAAGGCAACGAUGCGUAGCCGACCUGAGAGGGUGAUCGGCCACACUGGAACUGAGACACGGUCCAGACUCCUACGGGAGGCAGCAGUAGGGAAUCUUCCGCAAUGGGCGAAAGCCUGACGGAGCAACGCCGCGUGAGUGAUGAAGGUCUUCGGAUCGUAAAACUCUGUUAUUAGGGAAGAACAAAUGUGUAAGUAACUAUGCACGUCUUGACGGUACCUAAUCAGAAAGCCACGGCUAACUACGUG
rnacentral:rRNA from 1 species